rnacentral:tRNA from 2 species
UGCCGGUGUGGCGGAAUUGGCAGACGCGCGGGAUUCAAAAUCCCGUUCCAGCGAUGGAGUAUCGGUUCGACCCCGAUCACCGGUAGC